UUUUUGUUUAAAAUUUAAAGUAAGACCUGCCCMCUGAAAUUUUUAAAGGGCCGCAGUAUUUUGACUGUGCAAAGGUAGCAUAAUCAUUAGUUUUUUAAUUGAAAGCUUGUAUGAAAGGUUAAAUGAAAAAAAAUCUGUUUCAAAUUUAAAUUAAAAUUUUAUUUUUAAGUUAAAAAGCUUAAUUAAUUUUAAAAGACGAGAAGACCCUAUAGAGUUUAAUUUAAAGUUUAUAUUAAAAAAAGGAAAUAAAUAUAAAUUAUAAAUUUUAUUGGGGUGAUAGAAAAAUUAAAUUAACUUUUUUUAUAUUUAUACAUUGAUUUAUGAAUUUUUGAUCCAAUAUUUUUUGAUUAAAAGAUUAAAUUACCUUAGGGAUAACAGCGUAAUUUUUUUAAGAAGUUCUUAUUUUAAAAAGAGAUUGCGACCUCGAUGUUGGAUUAAAAUUAAUAGUUGGUGAAGAAGCUAAUUUAUUAGGUCUGUUCGACCUUUAAAAUUUUACA
rnacentral:rRNA from 1 species